rnacentral:rRNA from 1 species
GACGAACGCUGGCGGCGUGCUUAACACAUGCAAGUCGAACGGAAAGGCCCUGCUCUUGUGGGGUGCUCGAGUGGCGAACGGGUGAGUAACACGUGAGUAACCUGCCCUUGUAUUUGUGAUAAAUUCAGGAAACUGGGGCUAAUACCGGAUAGGAUCUCCUGCUCCAUGUUGGGGGUUGGAAAGUUUCGGCGGUUGGGGAUGGAUUCGCGGCUUCUCCGCUGGUUGGUGGGGUAGUGGCUUACCAAGGCUUUGACUGAUAGCCCACCUGGGAGGUGGACCGGCCACCUGGGGCCUGAGGUACGGCCCAGUCUCCUACCGUAGGCAACAGGGGAAAAUAUUGCACAGUGGGCGGAAGCCUGAUGCAGCGACGCCGGGUGCGUGAUGACGGCCUUCGGGGUGUAAACAGCUGUGUACUGUGACGAAGCGGGAGUGACGGUAAUGGGUAAGGAAGCACCGGCUAACUACGUG